rnacentral:rRNA from 4 species
CAAACGACUCUCGGCAACGGAUAUCUCGGCUCACGCAUCGAUGAAGAACGUAGCAAAAUGCGAUACUUGGUGUGAAUUGCAGAAUCCCGUGAACCAUCGAGUUUUUGAACGCAAGUUGCGCCCGAAGCCAUCCGGUCGAGGGCACGUCUGCCUGGGCGUCACGC